ensembl:lncRNA novel transcript
ACAUGCGCAGUGUAGCCCCUGCGUAGGAAUGUGGUUAACGGCCAGAUGUCUGACAGUUCUCCGACUUCUGGGCAUUCCACGUAGGACGCUUUCUCAUGAGUGUCUGAAACCGUCAGUUCACUGCCAGAAAUGGAGAUACAUGUUUCCUGAUAAACUGGCACUUGCCUUUUCAAAGCCACCAUUUCCUCUAUCCUCUGGGCUGUCACAAAUCCUCCUCUGCACCUCAGGAGUGCCCCUUGGAGCCACGUUCACCACUUCUCUGCCCCUGACCCAGGCUGGUUCCCAGGCCUUGGGGUCCUAGCGUGGACCUCCUGGAAGUAAUUAAUGCAGUUUUCCAGAUUAACUCGAAGUACCCCACGACUAAACGCUAAUGAAACUAGAGGAGGCACAGCUUCAGCUCCGUGCAGGAUGGAUGCACAAGAGCAGAAUCUCCAUGGGACGCCUUUCUGGAGCAUCAGUAUUACUGCAGGAUUUGGAAGAAACAAAUUCAAAUAAUUUCCAAAGUCAAAGCAACCUAUAUGUCAUCAUACAAACUACAGGCUACGAUGAGCACCUCAUUUUCUUUCUGGAAGGCUGACCUUAAAUGUCCUGCACAUUCCUAUAGUGCAUAUUUACCCUUUUCCUAUACUAAGUAAGCCCUAAAUCUUGGCAGUAACAGCCUGGGGAACUACCUGUCUUGCUACCACUCAAGACCAUGCUUCUGUCCACAAAUUCCCCCCAAUAAAUUACCCUUUACUGACAAACUGGA